rnacentral:rRNA from 1 species
CCGAAAGGCAGGAGUGCCUGCAAGGGAGCGCGGAGACAGGUGGUGCAUGGCUGUCGUCAGCUCGUGUCGUGAGAUGUUGGGUUAAGUCCCGCAACGAGCGCAACCCUCACCUCUUGUUGCCAUCAGGUCAUGCUGGGCACUCUAGAGGAACUGCCCCGGUCAACGGGGAGGAAGGCGGGGAUGACGUCGAGUCAUCAUGCCCCUUACAUCCUGGGCUACACACGUGCUACAAUGGCCGGUACAAAGGGAUGCCACACCGCGAGGUAGAGCUAAACCCAAAAAGCCGGUCUAAGUUCGGAUUGGAGUCUGCAACUCGACUCCAUGAAGGAGGAAUCGCUAGUAAUCGCGUAUCAGCACGACGCGGUGAAUACGUUCCCGGGCCUUGUACACACCGCCCGUCACACCACGAAAGCCAGCUGUACUCGAAGUCGCUGAU